AUUGAACGCUGGCGGCAGGCCUAACACAUGCAAGUCGAGCGGAUGAGAGGAGCUUGCUCCUCGAUUCAGCGGCGGACGGGUGAGUAAUGCCUAGGAAUCUGCCUAGUAGUGGGGGACAACGUUUCGAAAGGAACGCUAAUACCGCAUACGUCCUACGGGAGAAAGUGGGGGAUCUUCGGACCUCACGCUAGUAGAUGAGCCUAGGUCGGAUUAGCUAGUUGGUAGGGUAACGGCCUACCAAGGCGACGAUCCGUAACUGGUCUGAGAGGAUGAUCAGUCACACUGGAACUGAGACACGGUCCAGACUCCUACGGGAGGCAGCAGUGGGGAAUAUUGGACAAUGGGCGAAAGCCUGAUCCAGCCAUGCCGCGUGUGUGAAGAAGGCCCUCGGGUCGUAAAGCACUUUAAGUUGGGAGGAAGGGCUUACAGCGAAUACCUGUGAGUUUUGACGUUACCGACAGAAUAAGCACCGGCUAACUUCGUGCCAGCAGCCGCCGUAA
rnacentral:rRNA from 1 species